rnacentral:rRNA from 1 species
GAUGAACGCUAGCUACAGGCUUAACACAUGCAAGUCGAGGGGUAGCAGGGCCUAGCAAUAGGUUGCUGACGACCGGCGCACGGGUGAGUAACACGUAUCCAACCUGCCCUAUACUCGGGGAUAGCCUUUCGAAAGAAAGAUUAAUACCCGAUAGUAUAAUUAGAUCGCCUGAUUUGAUUAUUAAAGAAUUUCGGUAUAAGAUGGGCAUGCGUCCCAUUAGAUAGUUGGUGAGGUAACGGCUCACCAAGUCAAUGAUGGGUAGGGGUUCUGAGAGGAAGGUCCCCACACUUGAACUGAGACACGGUCCAGACUCCUACGGGAGGCAGCAGUGAGGAAUAUUGGUCAAUGGUCGGAAGACUGAACCAGCCAAGUCGCGUGAGGGAAGACAGCCCUAUGGGUUUUAAACCUCUUUUGUAAUGGAAGAAUAAGUCUUACGUGUAGGACGAUGCCAGUACAUUACGAAUAAGCAUCGGCUAACUCCGUGCCAGCAGCCGC